rnacentral:rRNA from 1 species
GGUACUCGCGAAUGCCUCUAGAUUUGAGUUUGAUCAUGGCUCAGAUGAACGCUGGCGGCGUGCCUAAUACAUGCAAGUCGAGCGAAUGGAUUAAGAGCUUGCUCUUAUGAAGUUAGCGGCGGACGGGUGAGUAACACGUGGGUAACCUGCCCAUAAGACUGGGAUAACUCCGGGAAACCGGGGCUAAUACCGGAUAACAUUUUGAACCGCAUGGUUCGAAAUUGAAAGGCGGCUUCGGCUGUCACUUAUGGAUGGACCCGCGUCGCAUUAGCUAGUUGGUGAGGUAACGGCUCACCAAGGCAACGAUGCGUAGCCGACCUGAGAGGGUGAUCGGCCACACUGGGACUGAGACACGGCCCAGACUCCUACGGGAGGCAGCAGUAGGGAAUCUUCCGCAAUGGACGAAAGUCUGACGGAGCAACGCCGCGUGAGUGAUGAAGGCUUUCGGGUCGUAAAACUCUGUUGUUAGGGAAGAACAAGUGCUAGUUGAAUAAGCUGGCACCUUGACGGUACCUAACCAGAAAGCCACGGCUAACUACGUGCCAGCAGCCGCGGUAAUACGUAGUGGCAAGCGUUAUCCGGAAUUAUUGGGGCGUAAAAGCGCGCGCCA